GUUAGUGGCGAAAGGGUGAGGAAUAGACAGGUAACGUACCUUUGGCUUCGGAAUAGCCCAUCGAAAGAUGGGGUAAUGCCGGAUGAUGUCAUCCGUGUAAUGCGGAUGACCAAAGAUUUAUCGGCCAUUGAGCGGCCUGUUUCCUAUCAGCUUGUUGGUGAGGUAAUGGCUACCAAGGCGACGACGGGUAGCGGGACUGAGAGGUUGGCCCGCCACAUCGGGACUGAGACACUGCCCGGACUCCUACGGAGGGCUGCAGUAACGAAUAUUGGGCAAUGGGCGAAAGCCUGACCCAGCAAUGCCGUGUGCAGGAUGAAGCCCCUCGGGGUGUAAACUGCUUUCAGGGAUUAGAAAGCUACGGUUGAUCAAUCCCAGAAGAAGUCACGGCUAACUUCGUGCCAGCAGCCGCGGUAAGACGAAGGUGGCAAGCGUUAUUCGAAAUCACUGGGCUUAAAGGGUGCGUAGGCGGAUAUGAAAGUGUUUUGUGAAAUCCCCUGGCUUAACCGGGGAAUGGCAGGACAAACUCCAUAUCUUGAGGCAAGUAGAGGUGUGUGGAACUCUUGGUGGAGCGGUGGAAUGCGUAGAUAUCAAGAGGAACGCCGAAGGUGAAGACAGCACACUGGACUUGUACUGACGCUGAGGCACGAAAGCGUGGGGAGCAAACAGGAUUAGAUACCCUGGUAGUCCACGCUGUAAACGAUGUGCACUAGGUCGCGGAGGUUCUGACACCGUCGCGGCGUAGCAAAAGUGUUAAGUGCACCGCCUGGGGAGUACGGUCGCAAGGCUAAAACUCAAAGGAAUUGACGGGGGCUCACACAAGCGGUGGAGCAUGUGGAUUAAUUCGAAGCAACGCGCAGAACCUUACCUGGGUUUAACAUGUUUGGAUGCCUAUCUGGAAACAGAGUCUGCUGCCUUCGGGUGAGACUUACACAGGUGCUGCAUGGCUGUCGUCAGCUCGCGCUGUGAGAUGCCGGGUUAAGUCCUUUAACGAGCGAAACCCUUACCGUUAGUUGCCAGCGCGUCAUGGCGGGGACUCUAGCGGGACUGCCGGUGUUAAACCGGAGGAAGGCGGGGAUGACGUCAAGUCCUCAUGGCCUUUAUGCCCAGGGCUUCACACGUGCUACAAUGGCAGGUACAGAGCGACGCAAUACCGCGAGGUGGAGCAAAUCGCAAAAAACCUGCCCCAGUCCAGAUUGCAGGCUGCAACUCGCCUGCAUGAAGUCGGAAUCGCUAGUAAUCGCGUAUCAGCGAUGACGCGGUGAAUGUGUUCCUGAGCCUUGUACACACCGCCCGUCAAGUGAUGGAAGUCGGGAGUACCCGAAGUCCGAUUGCUAACUUGUAAAAGAGGCGUCUGCCGACGGUAAGCUCGGUGACU
rnacentral:rRNA from 1 species